UUUCACUCUCAAUUUUCCUGCUGCUUCCUGCUAAAGCAUUUCCAGCUGAAAAGCUUUUCUCCUGAUACACUACGUAAGGCUUGAUUGGGUUGCUGGAGUCAACAUCAGUAUUUUUAGACAAUGGUCCACGGCCUCUGAUGCAAAUCAACUUUAAAAGUGCAACAUGAGAGGUUCUGGAUUCAGCUGAAGUUUUAGAAAAGUGCACUGCACCUCUGCUACCUUACCUUGAUGCUCUCUGGGCUGUGAGGGGUCCAAUUCAGCCUUCAGCAUCCUGCAGCUCCUCUGAGCAGCCCCAGGAGCACAGCCCAGCUCUCAGAGGGAAAACAGGGCACUCCAGGGAACACUUACUCGAAUUACACUCUGCCUUCAAUUUGUCAGCUGCACCACCAGCAGCAAGAGGAGAGACGUGGAAAUGUCACAGAGUGGUAACCUUUAAAAUGCUUUUGCAUUCAAAGAAGAAGAAAAAGCCCAAAGCACGUGGCUGCAGCAGCAUUUCCAUGACUUCAGUGAGUUCCCCUCUGCUCUGUGGUGGCUCCUCAGGGUGGCAUCAGCCUCUGCUCCUGGAGCAUCCCCAGCAGGGACCAGCCAGGGCCACCAGCAGUGGGGUAGCACCACUGUCCCAUCCACCAUCCCUGGGGCUGAGUGCCCAGGAAAAACCCAGCCCAGCCCUGCCAGCCAACAGCACCACCCCACUGGGACAUUUUCUGCUGGAAAUCCAUCGUAAAUACGGAUUUGUCCCUGCAACUGCAAGGCAUUUGGGCUGCAUGUGUCAAAGGAAUUUCUGUCUCUGUCCUUUUGCUUUGAAUUUCUGUCUUUGUCUGGUUGCUCAGCUGUUUGAAGAAUUAAGUUAUACCUGAAAUCUUCUGAUGUGACCAAUUUGUGAAAAUCCUGGGUUGUUUUAUGUGUAUUUCUGUAUGUGAAAAUGUUAUUUUGAUAAUGAAGAGUACUGGAAUAAAGGUGUCCUGCAGUAAAAGCCUACUGAAUAUAUCCUGGAUAUGUUCACAAGGCAUUCUGGUUAUCUUCAUAUACUGAAUGUUCUGAAUAUAUUCAGACAGCAUAAAAAAUUACCUCCACAAGGCAAAUAAUGUCUGUAGACAUCAUGUACUAAAUACUGUAGCAAAAAAAAAAAAAAAAAAGAUGGAUAAAUAGCAAUCUUUUCCUAAAAGUACAGAAAAUAUUUCAAUUUCUAUAAAUAAGUCAAGCUUGCAUGUUUUUCUCCAGCGUAACAUACUUUGUUGCUGUUUUUAUGUGAUUUUUUUAAACACAUGUAUAUAUGUAUUGAUAUUUUCCCGCACUCUGGGGAAUGUUGAGAUGUAAUUGGCAGCCUUCACUGCUUUUUUAAAAUUGACACUUCUUCAGACAGAAUAUAUUUAGGUAUAGACCCAAGACCCUGCUGGUUGAAAACCUCAGCUCUAUAAAAGUUAUCUCAAAGUCAUUAAAAUACCAUCAGUGAUCUUUUCAGGCAAGGUCAUUGGUUAGGAACCCAUCAGAAAGUUUCUGCUCACUGUAAAGCACAUCCAGAAUAACUGGGUUGCAAAGGCAGCCAUCUGAAGGGGAGGAAGGCCAGAAUUAGAUAGCCCUGCAGUAUUAAUGGUUCCUGCUCUUCCAUGAUGAAAUGUGUUAUGACACAGGUUUUGACUCCACCACCCUCUGUCCCCCCUCCCCCAGCCCACUCCUGUUCGUAGGAAAAGAGACAUUUUUCUUUUCUACUACCUGCAUUUUAUUCAGAAUUCACUGUUCAGAGGCUGAAAUGAACAUAAAAUUAUUCAUUGUCUCCUUAGAGAUUUCCUGGUUCUUAUGCCAUUUCACGGACGCUGUCAGAAGGUGUCCAAGAGUUCCACAAAGAUUCCUGAGCUCCUCUGCACAGGGGCAUGGUGAGGUGAAGCAGCAAAUGGCUGCACAUGAAGGACAAAAUCCCACCUGGCUUUUGGGGCCUCAAAUCAUGGUCAUAGCGGGAAAAUACUUGGAGCAUUCUAUAUGUGAAAAGCCGAGCAAAAUGGCUAUAACAGAUCAAGCAGGGCUGGCCAAGAUCACCUCACUGCCAGCCAGAGAGACAGGAAGAGUCCUUAGAACUGGCAUGGGCAACAUCCUCUCCUCUCCUCUCCUCUCCUCUCCUCUCCUCUCCUCUCCUCUCCUCUCC